AGAGUUUGAUCCUGGCUCAGAACGAACGCUGGCGGCGUGCCUAAUACAUGCAAGUCGAACGAGAUAGCCCCUUCGGGGGUGUGUAAAGUGGCGCACGGGUGAGUAAUACAUGGGUAACCUACCCUUAAGACGGGGACAACCUGCUGAAAGGCGGGCUAAUACCGGAUAAGACCACAGGGACUACGGUUCCAGGGGUCAAAGAUGCCCUCUCCAUGGAAGGUAUCACUUAAGGAUGGGCUCAUGUCCCAUCAGCUAGUUGGUAGGGUAAUGGCCUACCAAGGCUAAGACGGGUAGCUGGUCUGAGAGGAUGAUCAGCCACACUGGAACUGAGACACGGUCCAGACUCCUACGGGAGGCAGCAGUAGGGAAUAUUGCGCAAUGGGCGAAAGCCUGACGCAGCAACGCCGCGUGAGUGAUGAGGGCUUUCGGGUCGUAAAACUCUGUCAGAGGGGAAGAAAAUCAUAGAUUCAAAUAGGGCCUGUGUUUGACGGUACCCUCGGAGGAAGCACCGGCUAACUCCGUGCCAGCAGCCGCGGUAA
rnacentral:rRNA from 1 species